rnacentral:rRNA from 1 species
UACGAGAGGCCCAAACGUUAUUCGGAAUUACUGGGCGUAAAGCGCGCGUAGGCGGCUUUGCAAGUCGGGUGUGAAAUCCCCAGGCUUAACCUGGGAACUGCAUUCGAGACUGCAUUGCUAGAGUAUGGGAGAGGGAAGUGGAAUUUCCGGUGUAGCGGUGAAAUGCGUAGAUAUCGGAAGGAACAUCAGCGGCGAAAGCGACUUCCUGGACCAAUACUGACGCUCAUGUGCGAAAGCGUGGGGAGCAAACAGG